AAUAAUCCAAGAGCUAUCACACGUGACCUUAUCCUCAUCCUCCUGCCAGACAUGGCUUCUGCCAAGUUGCCUCCUCUCCACUCUCCAGAACUCACCCGUUCUCUCUCUCCCUCUCCUCCGAUUCGUUCGUCCAGCAGCUCCGGUGGCUCGUUGCCGACGGCCGGCGACGAGUUUAAUUAAAAUCUAGGGGCAUUCGUUUUCUGGGUGUGACGAUAAGAGCCUAUUUUCAGUUUUGUGCAUCAUUUAUCAAUACAUUCACAUAUCUUUUCAGGUUAAUCAAAAUAAAUGCAAAUUAAUUAAGCUUGAUAAAUCCAUUUCAAGAUACAAAGGAUCUUUAGGAGAGGAGUUUGGAGUGACAUGUUAUGAACAGACUUCUUGAAAGAGCAUACAACAAACUUAAGGUCAUAAAAGGAACUCAUCAAUUAUGCAAGUAUGAAGUACGCUGCAUUUGUGAUAAUAUGCUUGUGACAUGUCUGUGUAAUCCCAUGAAUAACCAUGCCGUUCAGUUUCACUUGUGAUGUUAUAUUUUUGGAUUUAGCAUAGGGUGGACGUAAAUUUGUUUGUGUAUAAUUGCUUAUUAUAUAUCCUAAUUUUGACAUAUUGGAUUGAUGUAUUUGCACACGAGGUGAUCUGGAAUCUUUAUUAUGUUUCUUGGCUUA